UUCCACUAGCUGGAGGGAAGACAGGAGCAUUACUGAGCGAGAGGCCCGUCAUGAGGUCCAACCUCCCACCCGUGUUUAUUGUACCUUGUUGCUUCGGUAGCGCCCGCCUCACGGCCGCCGGGGGGCUUCUGCCCCCGGGUCCGCGCGCACCGGAGACACCAUUGAACUCUGUCUGAAGAUUGCAGUCUGAGCAUAAACUAAAUAAGUUAAAACUUUCAACAACGGAUCUCUUGGUUCCGGCAUCGAUGAAGAACGCAGCGAAAUGCGAUAACUAAUGUGAAUUGCAGAAUUCAGUGAAUCAUCGAGUCUUUGAACGCACAUUGCGCCCCCUGGUAUUCCGGGGGGCAUGCCUGUCCGAGCGUCAUUGCUGCCCUCAAGCACGGCUUGUGUGUUGGGCUCCGUCCCCCCGGGGACGGGUCCGAAAGGCAGCGGCGGCACCGAGUCCGGUCCUCGAGCGUAUGGGGCUUUGUCACCCGCUCUGUAGGCCCGGCCGGCGCCAGCCGACAACCAAUCAUCCUUUUUUCAGGUUGACCUCGGAUCAGGUAGGGAUACCCGCUGAACUUAAGCAUAUCAAUAAGCGGAGGAA
rnacentral:rRNA from 1 species